rnacentral:rRNA from 1 species
CCUACGGGAGGCUGCAGUGAGGAAUAUUGGUCAAUGGGCGCGAGCCUGAACCAGCCAAGUCGCGUGAGGGAAGAAGGUCCUAUGGAUUGUAAACCUCUUUUGUCGGGGAGCAAAAGACGCCACGCGUGGCGUUCCGAGAGUACCCGAAGAAAAAGCAUCGGCUAACUACGUGCCAGCAGCCGCGGUAAUACGGAGGAUGCGAGCGUUAUCCGGAUUUAUUGGGUUUAAAGGGUGCGCAGGCGGAAGAUUAAGUCAGCGGUAAAAUUGAGAGGCUCAACCUCUUCGAGCCGUUGAAACUGGUUUUCGUGAGUGAGUGAGAAGUAUGCGGAAUGCGUGGUGUAGCGGUGAAAUGCAUAGAUAUCACGCAGAACUCCGAUUGCGAAGGCAGCAUACCGGCGCUCAACUGACGCUCAUGCACGAAAGUGUGGGUAUCGAACAGGAUUAGAUACCCCGGUAGUC